AAAAUCCGUCGACUUUUAAAAUCGUGAGGGUCGCCCCCCCCCCCCCUUAUCCCCA
rnacentral:tRNA from 1 species